GCCAUCAGUAUGCACCAGCUUGUCUCUCUUGUCAAGGCACCCUUGUUUCGAUGGUCCUAACACUGAUAGCCUUGAUAAGACGUAGAUGGGAACUCCCUCCUGAUUGCUUGGACAACGCAUCCAGGACAUCUUGUGAAUGACGAGUAUGCCGUGAACCUCAGGCAGCUGGAAAAGACAACUCCACAUGACAUUUCUUUUUGUUUAGCAUCAUAUCUUGUGGGCAUUUGCACACCUGCCAAAUAUCCCGCAGUGUUGGGAAGACAAUGGCCAGAGCAGACACUAUCCCAACCUUGGAGUUCAAAGCUUGUGCAUUCCUUCCUUAACUCCAGGGUCUCCCGCAUUUUGAAUGCGGAAGGUUGGCAGAUGUGCAACAUAGUACAACAAAAAAAAUGUUCGCCUCUUUCAGGAUGAGCCCGAUUCCAACUGCUAACUCCCUCCCAAACCAGCUUCCCUCCAAUUUCGGCAAAAUCCCAUUUCUCCCAAAAUACGUUACUCUUACAUGCUUCCCCCCUUCAUUGGCACCUCAAAUGCUUCUGUUUUCAGACUUGUAAGACCUUCCUUCAGAGUUUAAAAUUCCCACUGGAUAUCUGCCAAGCAAUCAGGGAUUUGUGUUGACAAUCAGGCCAUGGAUAACUGGCAUAAUUGAGAGCAUGUCGAGACUAGCUGAGGCGGCUGUGUUGCUUCACUUUUCCUAAUGGAAUUGUUGGACCAGGAUUUUCUGGAUCGUUCUACGGCUGUCGUCCACGCUUAUGAUUUAUAGGGGACAAACUUGUGUAGGCCAAAAAGCUGCUGAGAAUAAUCGCCCUUUUGUAUACAGCCCUUGUCCACUUUAGGUGCAACAAUUUGCAUAACCAACAACACCCGACUAGCACCCGAGUUUACCCUUCCGAAUCUUGAUGUGGGGGGGGGGGGGGGGGUCAUUUAAACCGAAAAAUUCAUUACGGUCGUAAUCAUAUAGCAAACGGGAGAGCACUGCAGCAGGCUUACCUGUGGUCCUGGGGAUUGAGUCGCCUAAAAUGUUGAUCAUAGUGGCAGAAUUGAGGCUAGAAGCUCUCUACGGAGGCAGAUGUCCCUGAGUAAUGGGUGUUGUGCAAUGCAGUGCACGGCGGCACCGUUGCACAUUUCUACCACCCUGGCAACAGAAUGGCAACACAGGCUCUCGUCGGGCUCCUGUGGAUCGCGGACACCACACAGAAACCUGCCAAUUUCAACAUUCUAAACUGUCUUGCACAUCCGACGGCAACCAUGCAAAGAGAUACGUCACCUAAAAAUGUCAUCCCGCGGGUUAGCCGGAGCCACAUCUCGUGCAUGGUCGGCGAGUUCCAUGGCAUUGGGUCCGUAGAGUAUGGGUCAUCAUCCAGCAUUAACUCGUCGCCGCUACUGCUAACAUGUUCGUCAGAAUCUCCCCCAGACAGAGAAACAUCACUCUCGUUUUCCGACUCCAUGUUUGCUCCCUUCGCUUCGCGAUCGCCAAACAGGCGCGCGGCUCGCAUUUGCCAAAGCGCGCGCUGAUUGGCCUUAUCCGGGUGACGUUUCCUCCCACUUUUAGAGAGCGAGGGCGCAAAGAUUCCCGUUUCUUUUUCAUAGGAUUGCGCGAAAACUACGCCGCGGAUCGAAAUGGUAUUUUCGGGCCCACUUCAGUGGUCGGCAAGGAAUUGGAAUUCGCAUUAGUUUCGAAAUUGACCUCGGAGAAUGCGACUGUCCCUUUAAAGCGCUGAAGGAUGGUGUCCCAAGGCAGGAAGUGAUGAAAAAAUAUGAUGUGAAAAGGAGCACUUUGGCAACAUACGUGAAGAAUGAGGCACAGAUCAUCGCGGCCAUGGAAGGUGAGAAGUUCCACGGAAAGCGGAAACGCCUUCGUACAGCGGCGUACCCACAAUUGGAAGACGCUGUUCUUCGUUGGAUUGUGAACUCGCGCGAUGCACAGUUACCUCUGAGUGGGCCCCUUAUUUGCACGCAAGCCGAGAACUUUGCAGCAAAAAUGGGGAUUGAAGCAUUCAAAGCUUCGGAAGGUUGGUUUUCGCGAUUCAAAGAACGCCACGGACUUAUCUUCCGAAACAUCUGCGGGGAGAGAGCUGCUGUUGAUGAAGACGUCGUCAGAGAUUGGCGGUGCGUUCGGCUCCGGGAGCACAUAGCCGCCUACGAGCCCUGUGACGUGUUUAAUGCGGACGAGACCGCUCUUUUCUUCAAAGCACUGCCAGACAAGACUAUCACGCUCAAGGGAGACCCAUGCGUCGGCGGUAAAAGGAGCAAAGAGAGAGUGACCGUCCUUCUGGCCGCGAAUAUGACUGGGACGGAGCGCUUGCCAUUGCUUGUCAUAGGGAAAGCACAGAAGCCCAGGUGCUUCAAAAACCUCAAGCAACUCCUGGUGGAGUAUUGUGCCAAUCAGAAGGCCUGGAUGACGUCCGACAUUUGGCGAAGUUGGCUGCAGAAGCUGGACCGUCAUUUCCGCGCUAAAGAGCGCAAGGUGCUCCUUGUUGUUGACAACUGCAGCGCACACUGCAACGUGUCUGACCUUGAGUGGGUCAAGGUGGUGUUUUUCCCGCCCAACACAACGUCUGCCUUACAGCCCAUGGACCAAGGCAUUAUACACUACGUAAAGCGAAGGUACCGACGACAUGUCCUGGAACGCAUGCUGCUCUGCAUGGGUACCGGCAGGCAGUAUGAUGUGACGCUGCUCAGCGCUGUUCAUAUUUUGGCGCACGUGUGGACAAGCACACCAGCUGAAAUUGUGGCGAACUGCUUUCGCCAUUGCGGGUUUGUGCAAUACAUGUAUCAGGACUGCGACCAGGGGCGCGUUGCUGGCGAAAUAGUGACAUCGUGACUCGUCAUCGGCAUUCGUGGUCGUGAUUUUCCCCUUGCUCAAGUGACGAAACACGAAAGAUGGCCAGCAACGCGAUAUUGACACAUCGGCAUUUCAUACCUCCUCUCCGCUUUGUAUCAUGGCGAUAGUCUCGACACCGGAUGGUCCCGAGCGAAUAAUAUUUGCGCUUAUAAAGCAUAAAAUGAACAAUGCUUGUAAUUUAUAUUGCUUUAAAAUCGUUCUGAAAAUAAAAGUACAUGACUGUACGAUCUAAAUACAACGGUUCUGCACCACCAAUGCAGACGAACCAAUCACAAAGCAGCAGUGUCGUCUGCUAAGCUUAAGUUUCGUGCGCGCGGCAACGCUUGAUUAUUACUUCGGCGCUUUUUUGUCAGAAGGAUCUUUCUGCCUUACGGAAACAUUUCAGGUGAGACAAAUCACUGAACUCCGUUUUACACAUUGUCACAAACCAUUUCCAGCACGCAUGAACAAUAUUUUCGUUGCAGUCACCAUGUCGAUGUCGGAGGCUCAGAAGCUGCUGCUAUUGUCUUACAUGGAGCAGUCCCCCGAACUCUGCAACAACAGAAGUUUCAUGGUUGGGGAGACAAAGCAGCAGCGCAAAGCGAAAUGGGACGCAAUUGCUGCCUCUCUUAACGCGAUAGGCGGCAUCCAAAAGGACGCCACCGGAUGGCAGCUCAUUUGGAAGAGCUGGAGGUACCGCGUACGUAAAAACGUGCGCGGUAACAUUUGCAACAUCGGGGGCACUGGUGGAGGGGCAGGUACGGCAGUAAACGCAACGACGGAGCCUGGAGAAGAAGGAGGAACGCGCGUGGUGGACGUCGCUGCGAACCUGCAGGGGCUAGAUGCUAGGGUCAUGGCCCUUGUGGGGUGGGAUACCCUAGGCGGUAUUGCGGGCAGCCACAAUGUUGCCCCACAAGGGACUGUUACACUGACGGAUGUCGUCGUCGUUAGUGCCCAAGCACCAGCAGAAGAGCCUGCAGAAAUAGAAGACCCUGUACGGCAAGAAGAGUCUGCAUCAGCAGAAGCCCCUACAAUGGCUCCAGAACCAGCGGGGAGCAGUGGCAUGGUGCAACCUCGCCCGAACAGCCAGCCAGGAGCACGGGUUCAACGUCGCAGAAGGCGGAGGGUGCCGAUCAACAUUGCACAGCAGAUUUUAGCGGCUCAGAGAACUCUUGUUGACCGCAUUGACCGACUCACCGAGGCAAUGACACCCAUCAGCGAGUACUACAGGCUGAAGCUGGAGAGAAUGAGGCAACAAAAUGUGCCAUAGUCCGGAGGGUAUUCUAGUAUGUUGUGUGCUCACCUUGGGGCUGCGAACUGGGGUCAUGAGCCAGGGCUCAAGAGGAUAGCCAAGGUCACCUGAGGGAAAAUAAAGAGCAGAAAACUGAAGACACGUCCUAUGUGAUCAUACAGCUGCAUGGCAACAUGUGUAUAUAGUGUAUAUAUGUAUAUAGUGUACUUUCAAUAUUUCUUGCUUCGUGACAGACACAUUGUGUGCACACCAUAUUUUAGUUAUCAUCCUAGAUUUGUCAUAUGUGCGAGGGCAUCCAAGACAUACAUUUCACCUGUGUACAGCAUUUUGGAUACAUCUAAAUUUCAAUAAACAUUAACAUCACUUCU